rnacentral:rRNA from 1 species
AGUGAACGCUGGCGGUAGGCCUAACACAUGCAAGUCGAACGGCAGCACAGUAAGAGCUUGCUCUUACGGGUGGCGAGUGGCGGACGGGUGAGGAAUACAUCGGAAUCUACUUUUUCGUGGGGGAUAACGUAGGGAAACUUACGCUAAUACCGCAUACGACCUACGGGUGAAAGCAGGGGAUCUUCGGACCUUGCGCGAUUGAAUGAGCCGAUGUCGGAUUAGCUAGUUGGCGGGGUAAAGGCCCACCAAGGCGACGAUCCGUAGCUGGUCUGAGAGGAUGGUCAGCCACACUGGAACUGAGACACGGUCCAGACUCCUACGGGAGGCAGCAGUGGGGAAUAUUGGACAAUGGGCGCAAGCCUGAUCCAGUCAUACCGCGUGGGUGAAGAAGGCCUUCGGGUUGUAAAGCCCUUUUGUUGGGAAAGAAAAGCAGCAGGUUAAUACCCCGCUGUUCUGACGGUACCCAAAGAAUAAGCACCGGCUAACUUCGUG